UAAGGAAUAUUGGUCAAUGGAGGCAACUCUGAACCAGCCAUGCCGCGUGAAGGAUUAAGGCCCUCUGGGUUGUAAACUUCUUUUAUAUGGGAAGAAAUGUACUUUUUCUAAAGUGCUUGACGGUACCAUAGGAAUAAGCACCGGCUCACUCCGUGCCAGCAGCCGCGGUAAUACGGAGGGUGCAAGCGUUAUCCGGAUUUACUGGGUUUAAAGGGUGCGUAGGCGGAUGAAUAAGUCAGUGGUGAAAUCUCCGAGCUUAACUCGGAAACUGCCGCUGAUACUAUUUGUCUUGAAUAUUGUGGAGGAGAGCGGAAUAUGUCAUGUAGCGGUGAAAUGCUUAGAUAUGACAUAGAACACCAAUUGCGAAGGCAGCUUGCUACACAAUCAUUGACGCUGAGGCACGAAAGCGUGGGGAU
rnacentral:rRNA from 1 species